UCUGAAAUCGCAUCUCCUCCAGGAAGCCUUUCUCAAGUGAUGUCUCAUCUCCCCAGCGUAUAUCCCAAACAGCGUCUUCAGUCUCUCUCGGAGCCAAUUUCAGCAGUUGUGACCACAACCCUCCGUAGCGCUUAGAGUUGGAGAACACAUCCCAUAAUCAAUCAUAUUUAAUGAGCACCUACUGUGUGCAGAGCACUGUACUAAGCACCUGGGAGAGUCCGAUUCAACAGAGUUGGUAGACACGUCCCCUGCCCACCGGGGCCCGACGGAAGCCAGAAGUCCCGCAAGGAGGUCUGAGUGUGAGGGUCUGAGGAAAACAUCGGCAGGGCGAAUCCUGGCUGGAUGUAAGAGACAAUGUGAGGAGGAGAGCAAAGUGACGUUUAAACUGAGCAGUGUGCUCGACUCCAAACUGUCGGUUCACGGAGGGAAAAGCCGACGGACUUGAACGCAUCUGUGGUCUCUCCGGUCUUCAAGAGGAUGAAUUUCCCCUGGCCAUGCCGACCGGGGUGAUCGGAGUCAAACGCAACGGAGGGGCAGGUUUUCUGUUUGUGUAGUUUUAACCAUCUUAAUGAGUAUCAGACACCCUGAAUGUAUGCCUUUGGUCAUAAUAAAAUGAU